AGUUGGAAACGACUGCUAAUACCGCAUAAGCCCACAGGUCGGCAUCGACCAGAGGGAAAAGGAGCAAUCCGCUUUGAGAUGGCCUCGCGUCCGAUUAGCUAGUUGGUGAGGUAACGGCCCACCAAGGCGACGAUCGGUAGCCGGACUGAGAGGUUGAACGGCCACAUUGGGACUGAGACACGGCCCAGACUCCUACGGGAGGCAGCAGUGGGGAAUAUUGCACAAUGGGGGAAACCCUGAUGCAGCGACGCCGCGUGGAGGAAGAAGGUCUUCGGAUUGUAAACUCCUGUUGUUGAGGAAGAUAAUGACGGUACUCAACAAGGAAGUGACGGCUAACUACGUGCCAGCAGCCGCGGUAAAACGUA
rnacentral:rRNA from 1 species